rnacentral:rRNA from 1 species
AUUGAACGCUGGCGGCAGGCUUAACACAUGCAAGUCGAGCGGGGAAGGGUAGCUUGCUACCUGACCUAGCGGCGGACGGGUGAGUAAUGCUUAGGAAUCUGCCUAUUAGUGGGGGACAACAUUCCGAAAGGAAUGCUAAUACCGCAUACGCCCGACGGGGGAAAGCAGGGGAUCUUCGGACCUUGCGCUAAUAGAUGAGCCUAAGUCGGAUUAGCUAGUUGGUGGGGUAAAGGCCUACCAAGGCGACGAUCUGUAGCGGGUCUGAGCGGAUGAUCCGCCACACUGGGACUGAGACACGGCCCAGACUCCUACGGGAGGCAGCAGUGGGGAAUAUUGGACAAUGGGGGGAACCCUGAUCCAGCCAUGCCGCGUGUGUGAAGAAGGCCUUUUGGUUGUAAAGCACUUUAAGCGAGGAGGAAGCUCCUGUAGAUAAUACCUACAGUGAGUGGACGUUACUCGCAGAAUAAGCACCGGCUAACUCUGUGCCAGCAGCCGCCGUAA